UCAAUGAAGAGUUUGAUCCUGGCUCAGGACGAACGCUGGCGGCGUGCCUAAUGCAUGCAAGUCGCACGGAGUGCUUCGGCACUCAGUGGCGCACGGCUGAGUAACACGUGGGAAUCUGCCCAUCGGUGGGGGAUAACGGCGCGAAAGCGCGGCUAAUCCCGCAUACGCUCGCAAGAGGAAAGCGGUAACGCGUCGAUGGAUGAGCCUGCGGCCCAUCAGGUAGUUGGUCGGGUAAUGGCCUACCAAGCCGAUGACGGGUAGCUGGUCUGUGAGGACAGACAGCCAGACUGGGACUGAGAAACGGCCCAGACUCCUACGGGAGGCAGCAGCAAGGAAUUUUCGUCAAUGGGCGCAAGCCUGAACGAGCAACGCCGCGUGGAGGAUGAAGGCCUUCGGGUUGUAAACUCCUUUUGAGGGGAACGAUACUGACGGUACCCUUCGAAUAAGCCCCGGCUAACUCUGUGCCAGCAGCCGCGGUAAGACAGAGGGGGCAAGCGUUGUCCGGAGUUACUGGGCGUAAAGCGCACGCAGGCGGUGCGGGAAGUGGUGUGUGAAAGCGUGCGGCUCAACUGCACGAGGCCAUGCCAAACUCCCACACUCGAGUCCGGGAGAGGUCCGUCGAAUUGCCGGUGUAGUGGUGAAAUGCGUAGAGAUCGGCAGGAAGACCAAAGGUGAAGACAGCGGACCGGCCCGGUACUGACGCUCAGGUGCGAAGGCGUGGGGAGCAAACCGGAUUAGAUACCCGGGUAGUCCACGCGGUAAACGAUGACGACUCGGCAUAUAGGGGCGUCCCGCCCCCGUGUGCCCUAGCCAACGCGAUAAGUCGUCCGCCUGGGAAGUACGAGCGCAAGCUUAAAACUCAAAGGAAUUGACGGGGGCCCGCACAAGCAGCGGAGCGUGUGGUUUAAUUCGAUGCAACACGCAGAACCUCACCCAGAUUUGACAUGCUGGUGCAUCCCGUGGAGACACGGUGGCCUUCGAGGGUCCAGCACAGAUGCUGCAUGGCUGUCGUCAGCUCGUGUCGUGAGAUGUUGGGUUAAGUCCCGCAACGAGCGCAACCCCCGCGACUAGUUACUGGUGUCUAGUCGGACGGUCCUUCGGGAAGGAAGGCGGGGAUGACGUCAAGUCCGCAUGGCUCUUACGUCUGGGGCUACACACACGCUACAAUGGCGCCGACAAUGCGUCGCGACCCGGCAACGGGAAGCCAAUCGCCAAACGGCGCCCCAGUUCAGAUCGGGGGCUGCAACUCGCCCCCGUGAAGGUGGAGUUGCUAGUAACCGCGUAUCAGCUAUGGCGCGGUGAAUACGUACCCGGGCCUUGUACACACCGCCCGUCACGUCAUGGGAGUUGUCAAUGCCUGAAGUCCGUGCGCCAACCCUCGGGAGGCAGCGGCCGAAGGCAGGGGCAGCGACUGGGACGAAGUCGUAACAAGGUAGCCGUACCGGAAGGUGCGGCUGGAUCACCUCCUUU
rnacentral:rRNA from 1 species